rnacentral:rRNA from 1 species
AUUGAACGCUGGCGGCAGGCCUAACACAUGCAAGUCGAGCGAGUGGCGGACGGGUGAGUAAUGUCUGGGAAACUGCCUGAUGGAGGGGGAUAACUACUGGAAACGGUAGCUAAUACCGCAUACCAUCAGAUGUGCCCAGAUGGGAUUAGCUUGUUGGUGGGGUAACGGCUCACCAAGGCGACGAUCCCUAGCUGGCCUGAGAGGAUGACCGUCCACACUGGAACUGAGACACGGUCCAGACUCCUACGGGAGGCAGCAGUGGGGAAUAUUGCACAAUGGGCGCAAGCCUGAUGCAGCAAUGCCGCGUGUGUGAUGAAGGGCUUCGGAUUGUAAAAUACUUUCAGUGGGGAGGCGUUACCCACUGAGUAAGCACCGGCUAACUCCGUGCCAGCAGCCGCGGUAAUAC